AACGCUAGCUACAGGCUUAACACAUGCAAGUCGAGGGGCAUCAGGGUAGCAAUACCGCUGGCGACCGGCGCACGGGUGAGUAACACGUAUCCAACCUACCGUUAACUCGGGGAUAGCCUUUCGAAAGAAAGAUUAAUACCCGAUAGUAUAUUUUCUUCGCAUGUUGAAAAUAUUAAAGAAUUUCGGUUAUCGAUGGGGAUGCGUUCCAUUAGGCAGUUGGCGGGGUAACGGCCCACCAAACCUACGAUGGAUAGGGGUUCUGAGAGGAAGGUCCCCCACAUUGGAACUGAGACACGGUCCAAACUCCUACGGGAGGCAGCAGUGAGGAAUAUUGGUCAAUGGACGCGAGUCUGAACCAGCCAAGUAGCGUGAAGGAUGACUGCCCUAUGGGUUGUAAACUUCUUUUAUAUGGGAAUAAAGUUCUCCACGUGUGGAGUUUUGUAUGUACCAUUAUGAAUAAGCAUCGGCUAACUCCGUGCCAGCAGCCGCGGUAAUACGGGGGAUGCGAGCGUUAUCCGGAUUUAUUGGGUUUAAAGGGAGCGUAGGUGGACUGGUAAGUCAGUUGUGAAAGUUUGCGGCUCAACCGUAAAAUUGCAGUUGAUACUGUCAGUCUUGAGUACAGUAGAGGUGGGCGGAAUUCGUGGUGUAGCGGUGAAAUGCUUAGAUAUCACGAAGAACUCCGAUUG
rnacentral:rRNA from 1 species